AAAGCAGUGCUUUCGGUAAACUUAAAAAUAAAUAUUCUAAGUGCUAAGAAGUGUAAUGGUACAUAAUGUGAAUUUUAUAAUCAUUGGCAGAUUAGAUGAACUAUGUUAACUAUAUUAAUAUUAAACUAUGAAAUGAAUCGAGGAAAGUCCCUUUUUUUUUUUCUAGGCCUUGACCAUUUAAAAUAACAUUAUAAUUCAGUAAAAGUUGCAGUGGUUGGGUCGCGGCUACCUCUCUCCGGCGGCGCGUCUCCCGCGCUUGGUACAGCUCAGCCCGUCUCCCGCGAAGCCGCGAGCCCGCGCCCCUCAGUCGAUGGAGCCCGCAGCCCCCUGUGUGGCCCGCUCGCCCCUCGCUCGCGCCGGCCAUGGUCAGUCCGCGCCGGGCCCCGUACCGCUCUGGAGCCAGGAGCCCCCUAGGGGGUCACGGCCGCCCCGCGCGGCCCUUAGCAGUGCGCGCUGUCAGCUAGCGCUCCUGGCCGGCCAGCCCCCGAGGCCCGCAGCCUCUGCAGCUCCGGGCCUGCUCGGCCCCUCCCAUGAAAAGUGCUCGGGUCUUCGGGGCGCUGGGUGCCACCGGUCCCUCCUCACCUGGGCUCACCCUCAGGGGUCUGACCGUGAGUGAGCACCGGCUCAGCAACAAGCUGCUGGCCUGGAGCGGCGUCCUCGAGUGACAGGAGAAGCGCAGACUCUACUCCGACUCCACUGUAAAGUUGAAGCGCGCCCUGCUCUGCCAAGCCUAUGUGAACCUGGAGACCAACCAGUGGCAGCUGAAGCUGAUCAUGCAGCUGAUCCCGCAGCAGCUGAUGGCCACGCUGAGACCCCUGUUGCUUGCUCAACAGGCUCUGCCGCAUCAUGAGCAACGGCUUCGCGGGCUGCAUGUCGUUUCCCCACAUCUCCCCCUGCAAGAUGUGCGUGCUCAUGUUCCUGUACUCUUCCAGGACCAAGAUCUUCAUGGGCUUCAUCCCCUACGACCAGAGCGGCUUCGUCAGCGCCAUCCAGCAGAUCAUCACUACCCACAAGCAGGCAGUGGGACCUGGUGGUGUCAACUCAGGCCCAGUCAACAACAAGUUCCUGGCGUGGAGCGGCGUCAUGGAGUGGCAGGAACCCAGGCCUGAUCCCAACAGUCGGUCCAAGAGGUGGCUGCGGUCCCACGUCUACGUGAACCGGGGGAGAUCCUGAGGACCGAGCAGUGGCCGAGGAAGCUGUACAUGCAGCUCAUUCCGCAGCAGCUGCUGACCACCCUGGUGCUGCUGUUGCAGAACUAGCGCCUGGUGCACUUCCACUUCACCAAGGACCUGGAGACGCUGAAGAGCCUGUGCCGGAUCAUGGACAAUGGCUUCGCCGGGUGAGUGCACUUUUCCUACAAAGCAUCGUGCGAGAUCCGUGUGCUCAUGCUCCUGUACUCCUCUGAGAAGAAAAUCUUCAUCGGCCUCAUCCCCCAGGGCAACUUCCUCAAUGGCAUACUGCAAGUCAUUGCCAACCAGCGCAGGUCCUGCAGUGGAACCUGGAACAGGAGCAGCAGCAGCAAGGAAUGGGGGGUAGUGGCUACCCUGGAUGGGCCCCUUCAGGAGUCACAGACUAGGCCCCCGCAGAGACUGGUGACACGCUUCUGAGCAGGGGCCCCGGGGGACUUCGACUGCCCAGCAACAUGGAGGAUGGCGUCCUGGGGCCUCCAAGGACGGUCUUCACCACUGUACGUUUCCCCAGUAAAGCCUUUUAAAAACCAA